GAUUGAGUUAUGAUUUCUGAUCAUUUCCAUGUUUUCCUCCUCCUCAGGCAGAGUAAAGUAAAUUUUUUCUUACACCUUUGCCUAAUGAAUUAUAUUUCCGCAUCACAGCUAAACUUGUUCCUGUUGGUUAUGGUAUUAAAAAGUUGCAAAUCAUGCUUACCAUAGUGGAUGACCUCGUGUCCGUUGAUGAUCUUAUUGAGAAUUAUCUCACAGUCGAACCUGUUAACGAAUAUGUUCAGAGCUGUGAUAUUGUGGCUUUCAACAAAAUAUGAUCCCGGGUUCGUUUCAGCUUGUUCAAAGUGCUACUUGGUGGGCUGUGCUUUGAAUUAUCCUCCUCCGUCGAUUCUGAGAAUUUCUGGUACUUAACUUUGAAAUCUAAAUGUUCUUGUUUGUUUGUGAGUGGAUUUCUAAGAGAUUAUCGUAAACUAUAAUCACUGAAUUUAAUUAAUGGUCAAAGUUUGUCACAUAAAUAAAUUUCACCAUGUACUUGUUCACUCCAGUCAGGUUCUCUUUAUUUCGUUUA